rnacentral:rRNA from 1 species
GAUGAACGCUGGCGGCGUGCUUAACACAUGCAAGUCGAACGAAGCGAUCAAGCGGAAGUUUUCGGAUGGAAGCUUGAUUGACUGAGUGGCGGACGGGUGAGUAACGCGUGGGUAACCUGCCUCAUACAGGGGGAUAACAGUUAGAAAUGACUGCUAAUACCGCAUAAGCGCACAGUACCGCAUGGUAUGGUGUGAAAAACUCCGGUGGUAUGAGAUGGACCCGCGUCUGAUUAGCUAGUUGGUGGGGUAACGGCCUACCAAGGCGACGAUCAGUAGCCGACCUGAGAGGGUGACCGGCCACAUUGGGACUGAGACACGGCCCAAACUCCUACGGGAGGCAGCAGUGGGGAAUAUUGCACGAUGGGGGGAAACCCUGAUGCAGCGACGCCGCGUGAGCGAAGAAGUAUUUCGGUAUGUAAAGCUCUAUCAGCAGGGAAGAAAAAUGACGGUACCUGACUAAGAAGCACCGGCUAAAUACGUGCCAGCCGCCGCGGUAACAC